rnacentral:rRNA from 1 species
GAGUUUGAUCCUGGCUCAGGAUGAACGCUGGCGGUCUGCUUAACACAUGCAAGUCGAACGGGAGUAGAAAUACUCCAGUGGCGGACGGGUGAGUAACGCGUGAGAAUCUACCUUCUGGUCGGGGACAACCACUGGAAACGGUGGCUAAUACCGGAUAUGCCGCAACGUGAAAGAUUUAUCGCCAGAAGAGGAGCUCGCGUCUGAUUAGCUAGUUGGUAGGGUAAAAGCCUACCAAGGCAUCGAUCAGUAGCUGGUCUGAGAGGACGAUCAGCCACACUGGGACUGAGACACAGCCCAGACUCCUACGGGAGGCAGCAGUGGGGAAUUUUCCGCAAUGGGCGAAAGCCUGACGGAGCAAGACCGCGUGAGGGAAGAAGGCUCUUGGGUCGUAAACCUCUUUUGUUAGGGANNAACACAAUGACGGUACCUAACGAAUCAGCCUCGGCUAACUCCGUGCCAGCAGCCGCGGUAAUACGGAGGAGGCAAGCGUUAUCCGGAAUUAUUGGGCGUAAAGCGUCCGCAGGUGGCGAUUCAAGUCUGCGGUCAAAGACUGGGGCUUAACCCUGGAAAGGCCGUGGAAACUGAAGAGCUAGAGUGCAGUAGGGGUAGAGGGAAUUCCCGGUGUAGCGGUGAAAUGCGUAGAGCUCGGGAAGAACAUCGGUGGCGAAAGCGCUCUGCUGGACUGCAACUGACACUCAGGGACGAAAGCUAGGGGAGCGAAUGGGAUUAGAUACCCCAGUAGUCCUAGCCGUAAACGAUGGAUACUAGGUGUGGCUUGUAUCGACCCGAGCCGUGCCGUAGCUAACGCGUUAAGUAUCCCGCCUGGGGAGUACGCACGCAAGUGUGAAACUCAAAGGAAUUGACGGGGGCCCGCACAAGCGGUGGAGUAUGUGGUUUAAUUCGAUGCAACGCGAAGAACCUUACCAGGGCUUGACAUGUCGCGAAUCUCUUGGAAACGAGAGAGUGCCUUCGGGAGCGCGAACACAGGUGGUGCAUGGCUGUCGUCAGCUCGUGUCGUGAGAUGUUGGGUUAAGUCCCGCAACGAGCGCAACCC